CCCCUCUCAGGAUGGCACCUGGUGAGUUUCCAGUCCUCUAUCAGUCUCAGCUACUGGAGGGAGAGUCAAGCGGAGGCCUACACUUUCCAUUCCUAGCUUGGCCAGUGGCUUGUGAGUGGAAGACAAUCUGCUACAAGU